rnacentral:tRNA from 1 species
GCCUCUGUGGCCAAGUGGUAAGGCAGCGGACUUUUAAUCCGACGAGCGUGGGUUCGAUCCCCACCGGAGGCACAA